AAUAAAAACCGAGGAUUGGGAUUCCAUUGCUGUCAUUUCAUAUGUAUAUGGUUACAAUUAUUUACGCUCCCAGUGUGCCUAUGAUGUAGCACCAGGCGGAUUUUUAGCCAGUGUGUAUCAUCUUACGAGAAUACAGUAUGGUAUAGCUAAACCAGAAGAGGUAUGCAUAAAAGUAUUUGCCCCAAGGAAUAAUCCUAGAAUCCCGUCUGUUUUCUGGAUUUGGAGAAGUGCUGAUUUUCAAGAACGCGAAUCUUAUGAUAUGUUGGGAAUCUCUUAUGAUAAUCAUCCACGCCUUAAACGUAUUUUGAUGCCGGAAAGUUGGAUAGGUUGGCCCCUACGUAAGGACUAUAUUACCCCCAAUUUCUAUGAAAUACAAGAUGCUCAUUAAAUGAUAAGAAAUUAAUGUUUACUUAAUACGACUAUGACACGAUUCCAGAUUUCUUUCAAGUGAAGGAAUAUUUUUACGUUCCGUUCUAGAUGAAAGAAAGUAACCGGACUUUAAUUCGUAUUAUGGAUAACCUAAAAAAAACUUCAUUUAUAUUCCAAAAUUUGGAAUAGAUCAUAUCCAUUUCGUAUGAGCAGAAACAAUGGGAUGAAUCAAAAGAGUUCUGCACUAUGAACUUUGUACCGCGCACAUAACUUACUUAGAUGUAGAUGGACCUCGGAAAGUAACGUAAGCAAGAGUGAAGAAAUGGAAUAAAUGUCAAAAAUAUGAAAUGAAGAAAUGAAAAGGGAUUGGAUUUUAUUUGUACUGUGUCUGAAGUGCAUUCUGUCUAUUGCUAUCUUUUAACUCCUCUCGACUUUUAAGUUUUUUUUUACUUUUACUUAUUUAUUUUUAUUUUGAAUAUAGAUGAAGACUUAAUAUUCUUUUUGAAUGAGAGAAAGCACAGUAUGAAGAAACAAGAAAGAAAAAAGAGACGGGAGCAUAAUCUCACUUUGUUCUUUACCAUAACCAUCCAUACAUAUAUUUUUUACCAAUCCCCCCAAGGGGAGGUAUAUAUAUAUAUAUAUAUCUAGAUGAGUAAAUAUGUAAUAGAUGAGUAAAUAUAUGUAAUAGAUGAGUAAAUAUGUAACAUCUAGAUGAGUAAAUACGUAUCAUGCUCUAGACUAUUAACGCCCGAUCUAUCUCGAUUAAUUUGUAUGAAUAUCUAUCCGAUACAUUAUUUACGUGU